CUUCAAUUCACCAAAACUUCCUUUCUCCUUCCUUAAACUCACGGCCCCAAGCUUCCAUCCAUACACCUCCAUUUUCAAUCCAUUCCUUCAUAAUCUAAGCAUACUACAAGGUGUCUUAAGCAUAUUUAGGAGGCUUGGAAGCAUUGGAAGUUGAAGGACCUUCAUGGAGAGCUAUUAACCACUUCAUUUCUUCUCUUGUUCUUCCCUAGCCAUAGAGCUAGUAGCUUAAAAAUCAUAAGAGAUCAUGUUGAAACAGGUCUUGAGCCGGUGAUUCACUAUGGGAUUCGGGAAAACAAAUGACAACGAUGGCCACUUUUGGAGGGUUUGUCUUUUAUAUCCCAACUUCGUAUGGGUAUAUAGGGGACAAAACCUCACUAUGUUUUAUGUCAAAAACUAUCUUUUGUUAUAUGUAAAAUAACU
rnacentral:lncRNA from 1 species